rnacentral:lncRNA from 1 species
UAUGAUGAUUUGAAAACAAAAUUGAAAAGGGAGAUGAAGGAAAAAGGUGGAUUCAGUAAGAGAGAGGAUAAAAUUCAGUAGAAAGAGAAAAAUAGAAAAGAAAAAUAACUAGGUAACUCCCAAAUCCCCUAUUUUACUCCCACUAAACCACAUCCGUUAUAGUUGGGUAACUCCCAAAUCCCAUAUUUUUACUCCUCAAAUCUCUCAACAUGACUCCCAAAACACUCAGUACUUUACCACAUUUCAAACUCCUUCACGGCACAAGAACAAAAAAAAUCCC